rnacentral:rRNA from 1 species
UACGUAGGAGACGAGCGUUGUCCGGAAUUACUGGGCGUAAAGCGCGUGUAGGCGGAUGAGCAAGUCUGCUGUGAAAGCUCCUGGCUUAACCGGGAGUGGUCGGUGGAAACUGCUCGUCUGGAGGACGGUAGAGGUAGGUAGAAUUCCCGGUGUAGUGGUGAAAUGCGUAGAGAUCGGGAAGAACAUCAGUGGCGAAGGCGGCCUGCUGGGGCUGUUGCUGACGCUGAGGCGCGACAGCGUGGGGGAGCAAACAGG